rnacentral:rRNA from 1 species
GUUCGGUCCCUAUCCGUCGCAGGCGUAGGAAUGUGGCGAAGACCGGUCGUUGGUACGGGGGGACCGGGAUGGAGGUAUAUCUGGUGUACCAGUUGUUCUGCCAAGGGCAUGGCUGGGUAGCUAUGUACGGAAUGGAUAAGCGCUGAAAGCAUCUAAGCGCGAAGCCAACUUCAAGAUAAGAUUGCCCACCGCAAGGGUAAGACCCCAGAAAGACUAUCUGGUUGAUAGGUCGAAGGUGUAAGUGCAGCAAUGUAUUUAGCUUAUCGAUACUAAUAGGUCGAGGACUUGACCAAU